GAAUUGGGUCCUUGGGAUGUGAGGGGAGGGUAGUCACCUGUGCCCCUUGGGAAAAAUGCUAUCAGCAUCCUGCCCUGGGUUGUCAUUGCCUGAUGCCAGGUCAGAGCUGAACCUGUAUAAAAGGCAGAAGCUCCUGGCAGCAUCUCAGUCCACCUGCCUCCAGGGUAAUCUGCUCCAGUGUUGAACCAGCUCCAUUCAGUUUCUGCCAAGAUGUCCUGCCAGCAAAACCAGCAGCAGUGCCAGCCCCCACCCAAGUGUCCCCCUAAAUGCCCACCCAAGUGUACUCCUAAGUGUCCUCCCAAGUGCCCAGCCCCAUGUCCCCCUCCAGCGUCUUCCUGCUGUGCCCCCAGCUCUGAGGGCUGCUGCAGCUCUGGGGGUGGAGGCUGCUGCCUGAGCCACCACAAGCUUCGCAGAUCUCUUCGACGCCGACACCAGAGCUCUGGCUGCUGUGGCAGUGGCGGUGGCCAGCACUCUAGGGACUCUGGCUGCUGCUCUGGGGGCUCCAGCUGCUGCUCUGGGGGCUGCUGCUGAACUGGGUCAUGAAGACCAACUGAAGAGCAACACUCCAGGAUUCAAAGAGCUGAUGAUCUGCCCAGCCUGAGUCUUCUCUUUUUCUGGCUUGGAAGAUUGGAAGAAGAGAACGGAAGGGCUUCCGAAACACUCAGAACGUCCCUCUUCUUCCUGCCACGUUCUUCCCAUGGUGAGGUCUAGAGGUUUAACCUCUGAUACUCACUGGCCUGAUUUCCCACUAGAUAUAGUUCUUUGGAGGACUCAGUAUUGGAAUUUGGGUUAUCACUGUAACCAUAAAGCUUUUUAUUCGUGGUGUCACUGCCUCUUGAUUGUUUCGUUCACCUCUCCCACUCCCCACCCACUGCCUCAAGCCAUCUUCCCUCCCUUUCUUCUAAAUACAAGUCAACACUUAAAAAAUCAGUUUGGGAAACAGAUUUUGCACCAAAACUACUCAGACCUCUGGGAAACAAUAUUUCCUUUUAUGAUCUGAAGGAGGGGACUUUAAGCUUGAAGGAAAAAAUCAUGUUGGAGACCAUUACUCUGACAUAAGCUUCCCAUGAGAAGGGUUGGGAACAUGCUUUUCCAAAAGGAGUUGGUGGGUCCCAGAAAGGUCACAGUGAGAUGACUCUGAGAGGGUUUCCUUCCAGCAUUGGUGAUUAUUUAAAAAAAAAAAAAACAAACCACAACUUUAUUUCCUAGUCACAGGCAAUAAGAUCACACAAAGUGGGCUCCAGUGAAUAAACACUUUUACUUUACUGAUUAUUAUAAUCCUGGGUGCUUCCAUUAAUUGACUAGAGAGGGGAACUGAUGGAGGUUAGUUUCUGGGGCAUGAGUUUAGGAGGCAGGUAUGGAAUUUCUGAGUCCAUUUCCUCUGGCUCCUGAAAGCCAGAGUUUGAGUCUGAGUAGGGAACCAAGAGGGGCUUAUCAGGUGGCUCAGUGGUAAAGAAUCCACCUGCCAGUGUAGGAGAUGAUGGAGACUUGGGUUCAAUCCCUGGGUCAGGAAGAUCCCUUGGAGAAGGAAAUGGCAACCCAC
ensembl:lncRNA